AACGAACGCUGGCGGCAUGCCUAACACAUGCAAGUCGAACGAGCCCUUCGGGACUAGUGUCGCAUGGGUGCGUCACGCGUCGGAACCUGCCCUUAGGUUCGGAAUACCUCUCCGACAGGGGUGCUAUUACCGGAUAAUGUCUUCGGACCAAGGAUUUAUGGCCUUUGGUUGGUCCCGAGUUGGAUUAGCUAGUUGGUAGGGUAAAAGCUUACUAAGGCGAGGAUCCAUAGCUGGUUUGUGAGAAUGAUCAGCGACACUGGGACUGAGACACGGCCCAGAAUCCUACGGGAGGGAGGAGUGGGGGAUAUUGGACAAUGGGCGAAAGGCUGAUCGAGCAAUGCCGGGUGAGUGAUGAAGGCAUUAGGGUUGUAAAGCGCAUUUAACCGGGAUGAUAAUGACGGUACCGGGACAGUAAGCUCCGGCUAACUCCGUG
rnacentral:rRNA from 1 species